CAGGGCAGGCAGGUGGUCGCCGGAGACCUUAAAGGGUCUCCGGAGGAAAGUCCGGGCUCCGUAGGGCAGGACAGUGGCUAACCGCCACCCGGGGUAACCCGAGGGAAAGUGCCACAGAAAACAGACCGCCCCGCACUCAGUUUGUUAUCGAGAUAUUAGUAAAUUAUAGGGAUUAUUCGUAUAUAGACCACAUCGGUCAUACUUCCAAUGUCCCUAUAACAAACUGAGUGCGGGGUAAGGGUGAAAAGGUGGGGUAAGAGCCCACCGCUGGAGUGGCGACACUCCAGGCACGGCAAACCCUGUCCGGAGCAAGGCCGAAUAGGUUCCGCCCUGAAGGUGGCCCGCCUGAUUGUGCGGAACGGGUAGGCCGCAAGAGCCCUGGAGCAAUCCAGGGCCUGAGAUAAAUGACCACCAAGUACAGAACCCGGCUUAUUGCCUGCCCUGCUAU
rnacentral:RNase_P_RNA from 1 species